UGGCUCAGAUUGAACGCUGGCGGAAUGCUUUACACAUGCAAGUCGAGCGGCAGCGCGGGGCAACCUGGCGGCGAGCGGCGAACGGGUGAGUAAUGCAUCGGAACGUACCCAUUUGUGGGGGAUAACUAUCCGAAAGGAUAGCUAAUACCGCAUAAGUCCUGAGGGAGAAAGCAGGGGAUCGCAAGACCUUGCGCGAAUGGAGCGGCCGAUGCCGGAUUAGCUAGUUGGUAGGGUAAAGGCCUACCAAGGCGACGAUCCGUAGCUGGUCUGAGAGGAUGAUCAGCCACACUGGAACUGAGACACGGUCCAGACUCCUACGGGAGGCAGCAGUGGGGAAUUUUGGACAAUGGGCGCAAGCCUGAUCCAGCCAUUCCGCGUGAGUGAAGAAGGCCUUCGGGUUGUAAAGCUCUUUCGGCAGGAACGAAACGGUCUGGGUUAAUACCC
rnacentral:rRNA from 1 species